rnacentral:rRNA from 1 species
GAUGAACGCUGGCGGCGUGCCUAAUACAUGCAAGUCGAGCGAAGCGGGGACGGGUGAGUAACACGUGGAUAACCUCCUAUAAGACUGGGAUAACUUCGGGAAACCGGAGCUAAACCGGAUACUUAUAGAUGGAUCCGCGCUGCAUUCGCUAGUUGGUAAGGUAACGGCUUACCAAGGCAACGAUGCAUAGCGGACAUGAAAGGUGGUUCGGCCACACUGAAUAUGGACCACGGUCCAGACUCCGACAGUAGGCAGUAGUAGGGAGUCUUCCGAGAUUGGCGAAAGCCUGACUGGGCAACGCCACGUGAGUGAUGAAUUUUUUCGGAUCGUAAAACUCUGUUAUUAGGUAAGCGGUACCUAAUCGGAAAGCCACGGCUAGCUACGUGCCAGCAGCCGGGGUAAUAC